AGUGCAUCAGGUGAAUUGGUGGUCACCUGAGAAGUGUAGUAUCUGUUCUUAUCAGUUUAAUAUCUGAUAUGUCCUUUAUUUGAGGACUGUAUAUUAAAUUGAUUUUUGAAACAGGGGGCUGGAAUAGGAGCUUGCUCUGUCCACCCCAUGCAUUGACCUGGUAUUGCAGUGCCUCCAGAAAAAGAAAGCCCUGCAU